GGGGGAUAUUGCACAAUGGAGGAAACUCUGAUGCAGCGACGCCGCGUGGGGGAAGAAGGUCUUCGGAUUGUAAACCUCAGUAGUCAGGGAAGAAGCAAGUGACGGUACCUGAAGAGUAAGCUCCGGCUAACUACGUGCCAGCAGCCGCGGUAAUACGUAGGGAGCGAGCGUUGUCCGGAAUUACUGGGUGUAAAGGGUGCGUAGGCGGGUCAGCAAGUCAGGCGUGAAAUACCGGGGCUCAACUCCGGGGCUGCGCUUGAAACUGUUGGUCUUGAGUGAAGUAGAGGCAGGCGGAAUUCCUAGUGUAGCGGUGAAAUGCGUAGAUAUUAGGAGGAACACCAGUGGCGAAGGCGGCCUGCUGGGCUUUAACUGACGCUGAUGCACGAAAGCAUGGGGAGCAAACA
rnacentral:rRNA from 1 species